CCGCCGCCGCCGCCGCCCGCCUCAGCCCAACAUGGCGAUGCACAACAAGGCGGCCCCGCCGCAGAUCCCGGACACCCGGCGGGAGUUGGCAGAGCUCGUGAAGCGGAAGCAAGAGCUGGCGGAAACACUGGCAAACUUGGAGAGACAGAUCUAUGCUUUUGAAGGAAGCUACCUGGAAGACACUCAGAUGUAUGGCAACAUUAUUCGUGGCUGGGAUCGCUAUCUGACCAACCAAAAAAACUCCAAUAGCAAAAACGAUAGAAGGAACCGGAAGUUUAAGGAAGCAGAGCGGCUCUUCAGUAAAUCUUCAGUUACUUCAGCAGCUGCAGUAAGUGCAUUGGCAGGAGUUCAGGACCAGCUCAUUGAAAAGAGGGAGCCAGGAAGUGGGACGGAAAGUGAUACUUCUCCAGACUUCCACAAUCAGGAAAACGAGCCCAGCCAGGAGGACCCUGAGGAUCUGGAUGGAUCUGUGCAGGGAGUGAAACCUCAGAAGGCUGCUUCUUCUACUUCCUCAGGGAGUCAUCACAGCAGCCAUAAAAAACGAAAGAAUAAAAACCGGCACAGUCUGUUCUUCUGAUUUGAAAUCCAUUGAGGAAGGGAAUCUCCCAACCGCAGAAUCUUUGGUGCUUUGAUGUUUGAAACUUUGUGGCUUAAGAUUCUUAAAACUGAUUUUGUGUCUACAAAUCUUGCUAGGGUGGCUAAUCAACUAAUUUAUUCAAUUAGUAUAUUAAUUUCUAUUGCUUUCUUCCUUUCAAAUGCUGCCCCUCAGCCCGUCUGGCAUGUUUGAUUAUGACUUUGAGUAAGUUUGAUUUGAAUUAGUAUUUGUGCUGUGUUGUUUAGUAUGUAGAAACCAAUAUGCCUUUUUGAGACCUUUCUAACUCAUAGUUUAUCUGUUUAAUUGUAGGUAUGUAUAUUAGGUUAGGCUGGGAAGUUUUUUUUAAAAACAGAAAAACGUGAUGGAGGUAACAUUUUAUUUAAUAACUUAAGCAAAAUUAAGUAAACUUCACUUUUAUGCAUUUUAAUUUCUUUUAAAAUAGAUAACCGUUACUUUAAUUCAUAUUUAAAUUGAUGUCCUGGCUUUGCUUCAUAAGGAGAUUAAUAGUUUAAGAUCUUGAUAUUUUGCUCUGGAAAGAUUUAAAAAUUGAAAUUUGUUUAAUUUCUUCUGUGUUUCAUGUCCAGAAAUAUGAACUCCUAGUCUCUUUCCUGUUCUUAAUCACCCUGUCUCAGUGAUUAUCAGCGAUAUAGUUGCAGAGCUAACACAUUAACGUAGAGCAUGCCCUUUUAAUCCAAGCUCUUUAACAUGUAAUUUUGGAAUAAAUUUUUUUAAAUUGUAUGGCUUUUAUAACUGCUGUAGUAUAUUUCUUUUUGAGUCAUCUAAGUUUACCUUGUGACAAGAGUAUCUGCUCAUGUUUUUAAUAAAUACUUGCUUAAUAAUAUCUGGGUAAACAACUAAAUAUGACAUAGUCUAAUGAAGAACGUGGAUUUUACUUAACCAAAUAGUCUUUGUUAUAGCUUGUGCCCUAUGCAGUAGCUGAUUCUUGGACCCUUUUUCUGUAAAUUAAAAUGCAAAUGUCUUUUAUCUCUCCUAUCACAGGAUUGAUCUGAAGUUAAACAAAAAACCACGAGCUGACUAUUAGAAGACUCAUUAGUGCAGAAGCGUCCAGGCUAUAGAACCCUGCUUCCCUCCUCCGACCUCACAAAGAUAAACAUCCCUCACCUGACUGCGUGGCCAUCCACCUCUGCUUUCCCAGACCCAGUGCCUGUGACUCUGAGUAGUUUGUUCUGAAAUGUGGUGACAAACAAGUCAUUUCUGUAAGACCACAUCGGAUCAUUUACUUUGUGUCAUUUUUUAGUAACAGAACUUCAGGAAGACCCAAGACAUGGUUAUAGUCCCAGCAAGUUGCUAACUGCAUUUCUCCCUUCUCGGAAUGAAUCUCUCCCCCCAAACUGGCUGGCACCAGCUUCAUCUGUGAUGUGCAUCAAGAAACGUUCUCUGGGUUUGUUUUAUGCUGAACAUAGAACACAGGUCACAUUUCAGAGGGAGGCUGUAAAUAUGUGGCGUUUUCUUAUUUUGUUUGUGUUUUAUCAUUUUUCUAUUAUUGUUUUUACCAUCUUAUUUUCUUUGGGGACUUUUUGUAAUGCCAUUGUACAGCUCAUACCUUCGUGCUGACAUAUCUGAUAAUCUGUUUCGUGCAGUUGCCAAUAUUCUUAACUGAAAAUAAUCUGGUUUACCAUAAAUAAAAUGGGGACUUGGCUUUUUGUUUUUUUUUGUUUUUUUUUGUUUUUGCAGAGGGAAGGUAAAGAGUGUUUAUUUAAUAAUUACCUAUCUUAAAUCUUUCUGAGUUGGAAGCAGUUUCGUGUUCAAGGAACAGGAAAAGCUGAAAUAAGUAAGUUUAAAUCAGUCCUUUUAACAGAUAUUUGUAUUCUUUUGUAUAAAUAAAAUUUCACAGGCUGUGGCUUCUCAUGCUUUACUUUUAAACCUGAGAUUGUUUUUUCACUUAUUUAUUCAUAUCAUGCCUUGUGGAAAUUUCUCUUUUUCGAUCUUUUCUCUCUUUGAUGGUAUUUGCCUGAUUAAAUAUUGCUCUAAAGAUCACUAAGGCAAAUGGAAAGGCUCCAGAUCAUACCCACAGCUGAUCACACAUGGAGUUCCUGAGCAGAGUGCAUGACAGGAUUACCGAGAGGCCACGAUGCCCAGCAGAUGCCCCUUCCUUCUGGGGUGGAUGGGCUGAGAAACCUCCUGGUGGUUGCUGCCUGCAUCUGGGGCAGUGGCCCUCCACCUCAGCUGCACGUUGGAAUCACCUGGGAUGCUUAAAAAGUACCGAGGCCUGGGUCUCACCCCUCAAGACUCUGACUCGGGUACAGUCUAGUAUUGGGGGUGUUCUUUCAAAGAGCCCCUGGCAUUCUGAUAAGAAGCCAGGUUGAGAACCACUGCAUUGUCCGAUUUAAAUCUAUGUCAUGAAUCAGUCUAGGGGAUAAGCUGUGGGGCCUUGCCUUUCCUUUGACUCUAGUCAUAGUCCUUUACUUAUGUCCACAUCUUUGUUAGAAAAAAUAUAUUCAUUUGUGGUAAUAUUGGUAGAGCUGAAAUAUGGAGGGCGUCUGUUAUCAAAACAUGUCUACCUUGUCAGAUGUGCAAAAGCUUUCACUCUUGUUCUCAAAUAAACUUUUUUUUUUUUUUUUUUUUGAAUUCUGUGGCUAUUUAGAUGUCUUUGCCUAUGUCUUUGAUAGCAGAACUUCAGGGAUUUUUUUAAGGAAGUAGUUUCUUAUAUAUAGAUUGUUCCUUAAAAACAAAAUAAAACAAGCAAACAAAAACCAAAACAAACUAAACUAAAAACAAUGGAAACCAGAAACUUUCUGUAUCCUUUUUGUCAGUCUCCUUUCCUGGGAGGGAAAGGUGGGAUCCCUGCAGUUUCCUUAGCUCUGAGGACAGCACACAGCAAACUUGAAGAUAUUUCUGACUCAUAGUUUGACAUUUGCUAGAGAUAGAGUAGGACUACUCUAAAAUGUUAUUAAAAGCAUAUCUGUAUAUGAAUACCUCUGUGUGUGUACAAUCAUGGUUAGAGACAUGGCUUGCUUUAUACAUAUUUUCUCUAUAAAGUUUAGU